rnacentral:rRNA from 1 species
UUUUCCUACGGGGGGCAGCAGUCGGGAAUAUUGCGCAAUGGAGGAAACUCUGACGCAGUGACGCCGCGUGCAGGAAGAAGGUUUUCGGAUUGUAAACUGCUUUAGACAGGGAAGAUACAAGACAGUACCUGUAGAAUAAGCUCCGGCUAACUACGUGCCAGCAGCCGCGGUAAUACGUAGGGGGCAAGCGUUAUCCGGAUUUACUGGGUGUAAAGGGAGCGUAGGUGGCAGGGCAAGUCAGAUGUGAAAACCCGGGGCUCAACUCCGGGAGUGCAUUUGAAACUGUCCAGCUAGAGUGCAGGAGG